GAUGAACGCUGGCGGCGUGCCUAAUACAUGCAAGCCGAACGGGCUGCCAUAAGGCAGCCAGUGGCGAACGGGUGAGGAGCACAUGGGGAACCUGCCCGUCAGAGGGGGACAACAGCUGGAAACGGCUGCUAAGACCGCAUAGGCUCAAGGAGGGCAUCCUCGUUGAGUUAAAGUGUCCUUUCGGGGACAGCUGACGGAUGGACCUGUGGCGCAUUAGCCAGUUGGCGGGGUAAAGGCCCACCAAGGCGACGAUGCGUAGCCGGCCUGAGAGGGCGGACGGCCACACUGGGACUGAGACACGGCCCAGACUCUUGCGGGAGGCAGCAGUAGGGAAUUUUCGGCAAUGGGGGGAACCCUGACCGAGCAACGCCGCGUGAGUGAGGAAGGCCUUCGGGCUGUAAAGCUCUGUUGCAGAGGAAGAACGGGAGAGCGAGGAAAUGCGCUUUUCGUGACGGUACUCUGCGAGAAAGCCACGGCUAACUACGUGCCAGCAGCCGCGGUAAUACGUAGGUGGCAAGCGUUAUCCGGAAUCAUUGGGCGUAAAGAGGGAGCAGGCGGACGCGAAGGUCCGUAGUAAAAGCCCGAAGCUAAACUUCGGGCGGCUAUGGAAACCGCGCGCCUGGAGUGCGGAAGAGGAUCGCGGAAUUCCAUGUGUAGCGGUGAAAUGCGUAGAUAUAUGGAGGAACACCGGUGGCGAAGGCGGCGGUCUGGUCCGGCACUGACGCUCAUUCCCGAAAGCGUGGGGAGCAAAUAGG
rnacentral:rRNA from 1 species